CUGAGCCGAGGCGAUGGAACCCGCCCGGGCCGCUUCCGGCCCGAACCGCCCUCCGGGCUGAUGGUCCCUGACCGAGG
rnacentral:ncRNA from 1 species